AUCCAGGGAUAGCUCAGCUGGUAGAGCAUGAGACUCUCAGUCUUGGGGUUGUGUGUUCGAGCCCCACGUUGGGUA